rfam:Triticum aestivum genome assembly, contig: Triticum_aestivum_CS42_TGACv1_scaffold_500072_6BL
GUAGUACUCCUUCCGUCCCAAAUUACAUGUCGUGGAAAUAGAUAAAAACAGAUGUAUCUAGAACUAAAAUACGUCUAGAUACAUCCAUUUCCAACAAUAACAACAACAACAACAAAGCCUUUAGUCCCAAGCAAGUUGGGGUAGGCUAGAUACAUCCAUUUCCAUGACAAGAAAUUCUGGACGGAGGGAGUACUUA